CACUGGUCCGUGCUCUUCCCUCAGCAUUAGAGGAGCCGUGCUGCUGGAGCUGCUCUCUUUCAGCAUCUUGAAGCUCUGUUGCCUGGUUCACUGGGAGUCCGGAUGGCCUGGGGAUUACAGCUGCUUGUCAACUUCCAGUGGAACCUGCUCCAGUCAGAUGAAUCAGAAGUGACAACGUGUUCUGCAGCUCGCCAGCCUGAAUUUUGGCAAGGAUCCUGCUGUCUGCGUUAAUUAACAGAACAGCAACCAGAGCCGGCAGCCAACCCAGCCUGCUCUGCCCCCUGCAGUCCAGCACCUGCCUUCCAAAAACGGAGCAUGACCUUUGAUGUCUGCAGCCACAUCCCAUCUGCUCACACAUCAACAGCAGCUGCUCCACACAAGGCCCUCAGAUGGUCUCAGCAUAAGUGUCAUCAUCAUCGCGAUGGUUUUAGAAAUGGAGAACCAGAUAAGGGCACCUGCAUGAGAUGUAUCAGUCCCAGGCAUAUUCAAUUCCUGCUUCCCUGGUCACUCUCCUAGGCUGUUGUGCUCCUCAGACCGGUCUGUCUGAAUGCAGUGCGACACUGCUGCCAUCUAAAUGCUGCUCAUUAGCCCACCUGGAAUGAGCUGAUGGGCCUCAGUCCAGUUCCCAGUGGACAAGUGUCCACACCACAAAGACCUCCAUCACUAACUUGAACCCCAGUUUGCAGCCUCAGCAGAUAAGCCAAGAACAAGUUAAGUCCUAGGCAGGACACCUAAAUAUGGUCCUUUGGCAGCAGUGCUGAUGUACCUUGGUAUGCAUGGCAGGGCAGAGGGGCAGCAUCUCCCGUUGUUCUAGCCCAGGCUGUCCCUGUAGCUAGAAUGAGGGCAUUGUUUUCCAGGGCUGUCAAUCUGGCUCCUGUCCCCAGGCUGCUGUUCUCUUUAAAUGAGAAUGAAUAAAUGAUGGCACCCAGCAGCCCGCCAAAGCUCAGCGCUAGGUGAGCAGGCGCUGUCUCCAGAGGACCAUCGGAGGUGGAAUUCAAAUGAAUGUCUAACUACAACAGUUUGGAGCGUAAAGCUUUCUACCAAAGGUGAAAUUCAGACUCUGAGCCUUUUAAAAGCCUGAGUCUCAAGCCUUUUAAUGCAAAGAUGAACUAACUAGUCCACGUGGCUCUUUUCCUGGUGGGGCGGAGACCCUGCCUUUGCAUGGUCCCUGUCAGACCAGACCGAGAGGCAGCAAAGCAAGCUCAGGGGUGGCUCAGCCCUUGCUAAAAUGUGGUGGUUUAGGUCCUCAGUAAUACUUUCCUGUGCCUUUUACUUGUAGGUCACAGGUUCAAAUCUGGCCCAGAUGAGUAGUAACCACCAUCUGGGGACUUGGUGGUGUCUUCUACGAACCAAGUUGGUGGAUUCAGUUCUGGUGUCAACAGUUUAAGAAGGAUGUUGAUAAAUUGGAGCGGGUUCAGAAAAGAGCUACGAGAAUGAUAAUCUAAAGGAUUAGAAAACAAGCCUCAUAGUGAGAGAGUCAAGGAGCUCCAUCUAUUUAGUUUAACAAAGAGAAGGUUAAGGGGUGACUUGACCAGUCUUUAAAUACCCACAUGAGGAAUAGAAAUUUAAUAAUAGAGAGCACUUCAGCCUAGCAGAGAAAUGUGUAACAAGAUCCAAUGGCUGGAAGUUGAACCUAGACACAUUCCGGAUAAAAAUAAGGUGCAAAUAUUUAACAGUGAGGGUAAUUAAUCAUUGGAACCACUUACCAAGGAUCGUGGUGGAUUGUCCAUCAUAAUAAAC